AUACGGAGGGUGCAAGCGUUAUCCGGAUUCAUUGGGUUUAAAGGGUGCGCAGGCGGACUUGUAAGUCAGUGGUGAAAUCCCGGGGCUCAACCUCGGAACCGCCAUUGAUACUGCAAGUCUUGAGUUUGGUUGAAGUGGGCGGAAUGUAGCAUGUAGCGGUGAAAUGCAUAGAUAUGCUACAGAACACCGAUCGCGAAGGCAGCUCACUAAACCAACACUGACGCUCAGGCACGAAAGCGUGGGGAGCGAACAGGAUUAGAAACCCCAGUAGUCC
rnacentral:rRNA from 1 species